GGGUCGAGCUGGGAACACAUG
rnacentral:miRNA from 1 species